rnacentral:rRNA from 1 species
UAGAGUUUGAUCCUGGCUCAGAUUGAACGCUAGCGGGAUGCCUUACACAUGCAAGUCGAACGGCAGCACGGACUUCGGUCUGGUGGCGAGUGGCGAACGGGUGAGUAAUGUAUCGGAACGUGCCUAGUAGCGGGGGAUAACUACGCGAAAGCGUAGCUAAUACCGCAUACGCCCUACGGGGGAAAGCAGGGGAUCGCAAGACCUUGCACUAUUAGAGCGGCCGAUAUCGGAUUAGCUAGUUGGUGGGGUAACGGCUCACCAAGGCGACGAUCCGUAGCUGGUUUGAGAGGACGACCAGCCACACUGGGACUGAGACACGGCCCAGACUCCUACGGGAGGCAGCAGUGGGGAAUUUUGGACAAUGGGGGAAACCCUGAUCCAGCCAUCCCGCGUGUGCGAUGAAGGCCUUCGGGUUGUAAAGCACUUUUGGCAGGAAAGAAACGUCAUGGGCUAAUACCCCGUGAAACUGACGGUACCUGCAGAAUA